rnacentral:rRNA from 1 species
CACGUAGGGGGCGAGCGUUGUCCGGAUUUAUUGGGCGUAAAGAGCUCGUAGGCGGCUCGGUAAGUCAGGUGUGAAAACUCUAGGCUCAACCUAGAGACGCCACCUGAUACUGCCGUGGCUAGAGUCCGGUAGGGGAGCAUGGAAUUCCUGGUGUAGCGGUGAAAUGCGCAGAUAUCAGGAGGAACACCGAUGGCGAAGGCAGGUCUCUGGGCCGAUACUGACGCUGAGGAGCGAAAGCGUGGGGAGCGAACAGG